AGCAGCCGCGGUAAUUCCAGCUCCAAUAGCGUAUAUUAAAGUUGUUGCAGUUAAAAAGCUCGUAGUUGAAUUUCGGGACUAAUAUGUCGGUCGUGCCUCGGUACGUACUGGUUUAUUGGUUUCUCCUUUCUGAAGAACCAUGAUGUCAUUUAUUUGGUGUCGUGGGGAAUCAGGACUGUUACUUUGAAAAAUUAGAGUGUUUAAAGCAGGCUCACGCUUGAAUACAUUAGCAUGGAAUAAUGAAAUAGGACGUUUGAUUCUAUUUUGUUGGUUUCUAGGAUCGACGUAAUGAUUAAUAGGGAUAGUUGGGGGCAUUAGUAUUCAAUUGUCAGAGGUGAAAUUCUUGGAUUUAUUGAAGACUAACUACUGCGAAAGCAUUUGCCAAGGAUGUUUUCAUUAAUCAAGAACGAAAGUUAGGGGAUCGAAGACGAUCAGAUACCGUCGUAGUCUUAACCAUAAACUAUGCCGACUAGGGAUCGGAUGAUGUUAAUUUUUAAUGUACUCAUUCGGCGCCUUACGG
rnacentral:misc_RNA from 1 species